GACGAACGCUGGCGGCGUGCCUAACACAUGCAAGUCGAACGGAGAAUUAGCAAUAAUUCUUAGUGGCGAACGGGUGAGUAACGCGUAGACAACCUACCCUUUAGAUGGGGGCAACCCCGCGAAAGUGGUGCUAAUACCGAAUAUUGCUUGAGAAGCGCAUGCUUUUCAAACUAAAGAUGGCCUCUAUUUAUAAGCUAUCGCUAAAGAAUGGGUCUGCGUCUGAUUAGCUAGUUGGUGAGAUAAAAGCUCACCAAGGCAACGAUCAGUAGCCGGUCUGAGAGGAUGAACGGCCACACUGGGACUGAGACACGGCCCAGACUCCUACGGGAGGCAGCAGUGGGGAAUCUUCCGCAAUGGGCGAAAGUCUGACGGAGCAACGCCGCGUGAGUGAUGAAGGUUUUCGGAUCGUAAAACUCUGUUGUUAAGGACGAAUGUAUAGAUUGUGAAUAAUGGUUAUAAUGACGGUACUUAACGAGGAAGCCACGGCUAACUACGUGCCAGCCGCCGCCGUAA
rnacentral:rRNA from 1 species